UUUAAUUUUUCCAGUGCAAAGUACAAUUAACAUUUGAGUCUGUCUGAGUCAUGAAGAAAUGGAGAUUACUGAAAAUAAUUCAUUUUGGUAUCUUCUUACAUCCUGAGAGACUAAUCUUUCCAAGUUCAUCUGAGGCUCCUCUUCUCCAUGACAACCUCAUCCAGGGAUUUCUUCCUGUCCUGGUGUUUUAUGACAUAAUCACAUCCUUCCUGAGAUAAUGAGCACACAAUUGCCUGGAUACCUGAAGGAAUGGAGACAGCGGCAGAAAACACUGCAGAGAGGUGGAAACAUCCGUUAAUAUUUUAAAAUCCCAUUACUGCUACCAACAAUAAUAAUGGAUGCAUAGAAAUAGAUCUGGAUUAGCUGAGCUUGAAACAGUCCAUCUCACACACACACAAAAGAAUUUCAGAUACAGUGAACCCACAUGUUGAAGCUUUCUAGUAUAAUAAAAAUUUCAACUGUUCUGUUGAAUCAUCUGCCUGAUUGGAGGCUACAGAAAAGAUGUCAUCUUAGGAGUGCUUGCUCUGAGUGAGGCUCAUCUUCAAAUCUGAAUGACCACAAGGAGAUUUGAUUAUACAUGUGAACACCUCAGAAGGCACAGCCCACCCAGAAGGCAGACAGGAGGAGACAGACACUAGAGCUCACCGGCUCGCCCUCUCACUCCUACUCAUCUGAGAAGGCAGCCAGCUAACCCUUCAGCCAGGAAGAGGGUCCUCAUCAGAACCUGGCCGUGGUGGCAUCCAGAUCUUGAACCUCCGGACUCCAGACUGUGAGAAAAUAAGUGUGUUGUUUAAAC
ensembl:lncRNA LINC00635 long intergenic non-protein coding RNA 635